UUUGGCUGCCUAAUUAUUGUAUUUUUUU
rnacentral:piRNA from 1 species